ACUGGUCCAGGCCUCUUCCCCAGCUAUUCGUGCUGCAGGAAGAGAAGAAUCCAAACGCUGGGGCCGACCUCGAUGAUGGUGGCAGUAAAAGGUUUUCAAGUCGGAUGGAAAUACUCACUUCUUUCUCUCACCUGGCAAACUCGCAAUUAACCAGCAAGAUCCUCAUCUAAUGGCCCGACCCUCCCGGGCAGGAGAAAUCACGCUCACCUCUGUCUUCCUUAGUGCUUGGCUCACGCUUCCCUCACUGCGUGUUACCUGAUGUUAUAACCCUGUUUCCGUGUCUCCACCCAGCUCUGCAAGGCAGGGAGAUCCUCGAGGGCAGGAACAAUAUUUAGCAUGUGACUUCCAUCCUCGUGGUUUGCAAGAUGGUUGCUGUAACUCCAAGAGUUGUGAACACGCUCCGGACAGAAGAAGGAGGGAGGAGGAAAGAAGGAGAAGAGCCAGUAUUGGGAAAAUGGAAGCUUUCCUCAGAAAUCCCCCAUGGACUUCCGCUUCUGUCUCAUUGGCCAGAACGGGGUCAUGUGACGACUGGCUGUGAAGAGGUCUGGGAAGGUUCAUGUUUUCAGCUGAGUAUAUUGUAGGGCUGAACAAAAUUGGGGUUUUGUGGUGAGAAGGAAGUAGAGAUUAGAAUGGGGGAAUAACUAGCCGUUCUGGCAUGUGUCACGGUCUACUUCUUUAUUUCUUCUAACUUU
rnacentral:lncRNA from 1 species